rnacentral:rRNA from 1 species
AUUGAACGCUGGCGGCAGGCCUAACACAUGCAAGUCGAGCGGUAACACAGAGGAGCUUGCCCCUUGGGUGACGAGCGGCGGACGGGUGAGUAAUGCCUGGGGAUCUGCCCGAUAGAGGGGGAUAACUACGGGAAACUGUAGCUAAUACCGCAUAAUGUCUACGGACCAAAGGGGGGGCUCUUCGGACCUCAUGCUAUCGGAUGAACCCAGGUGGGAUUAGCUAGUUGGUGAGGCAAUGGCUCAACAAGGCGACGAUCUCUAACUGGUUUGAGAGAAUGACCAGUCACACUGGAACUGAGACACGGUCCAGACUCCUACGGGAGGCAGCAGUGGGGAAUAUUGCACAAUGGGCGCAAGCCUGAUGCAGCCAUGCCGCGUGUGUGAAGAAGGCCUUCGGGUUGUAAAGCACUUUCAGCGGGGAGGAAGGGUCACUAGUUAAUACCUAGUGGCAUUGACGUUACUCGCAGAAGAAGCACCGGCUAACUCCGUGCCAGCAGCCGCAGUAACAC